CCUACGGGGCGCAGCAGUGGGGAAUUUUGUGCAAUGGGCGAAAGCCUGACGCAGCGACGCCGCGUGAGGGAUGAAGGUCUUCGGUCCGUAAACCUCUGUCAGCAGGGAAGAACGGUCACUGUGCUAAUCAGCAGUGAAUUGACGGUACCUGCAAAGGAAGCACCGGCUAACUCCGUGCCAGCAGCCGCGGUAAUACGGAGGGUGCGAGCGUUAAUCGGAAUUACUGGGCGUAAAGCGCGCGUAGGCGGCAAGUAAAGUCAAGGGUGAAAUCCCCGCGCUCAACGUGGGGACAGCCUUAGAAACUGGCAAACUAGAGUGUGGGAGAGGAUAGUGGAAUUCCAGGUGUAGGGGUGAAAUCCGUAGAUAUAUGGAGGAACAUCAGUGGCGAAGGCGACUAUCUGGCACAUAACUGACGCUGAGGAGCGAAAGCGUGGGUAGCAAACAGGAUUAGAUACCCGGGUAGUC
rnacentral:rRNA from 1 species